CCAGACCGAUUGGACGCGUUCGAGCGCCUGGCCACGAACUACGACAAUCCUCCGCUCGGCUACGCGUGCGCCACUCCGCAAAGUCAGAGGCAAAAGCAAACCAAAACCAAAGGCAAAAGCAAAGCCAAAGCCAGCGGCAAAGGCAAACACAAUUGUAAAGUUAGAGUAACACAACAUCGACGGACGAAAUUACCGGUUUUUUUCGCCAGCGCGCUUAGCUCUCUUCCUUUUUUUCGCGCGGCGGUCUUGCCCUCUCCGUAUCUGUUUUCCGAAAAGUGCGUUGGCUUUUCCGCGAAAAUUUACAGUCAACUUACUUGUAUUGCAUGGAGUUCACUCCCCCGCCUGCCGAGCACCGAUUCAUCCGAGUAAUUAAAGUCAUAGUGCAACAGUGAGGCCAGCAACUGGCGAGUGAUUAUAAUACCCGAGCUUACACACAUAGUUUGUGCUAAUAAUACAAAUACAAGGUGCAAAAGGAAAACACACGGAUGUGCGAAUUUAAAUGCCAUAUUAUAAAUAUUUAACAAUGCAGCCGUGCAGCUAAAGCGGAUUAUUGGCCAGCGACGCGUGGAAACGCAAAAACACGGCGAAACAAAGGCCUGUGUGCGAAUCGUUUCACGUUGAGGAAAUACAGAUGGCCACGCCCGGAGCACCGCCCACCGAUGAUAAUUGAAUAGGAACAUUAAUUGCACUGCGGUUUGUUGGCUCUAGCACCACACCCGCGCCCAUCCGGCACACACACACGCUCUCGCCCAUAGGCAAGAGCACACAUCUCGACCGUAAUCAGCCGCGUGGUUGAGCCAUGCACACGCGGACGUCCCACUGGUGGCCCCUGCUCGGGCUGCUGCAGCUGCUCCUCCUGCUGCAGGUGGCCCAUGGCUACCUGAUUAUCGUGCACGAGGACACGCCACCCGGCACCGUUAUCUUCAAUGCCUCCGUGUACAAGCUGGGCUCCGAGCGGCACUACAAAAUCAAUGCCCACAAGUCGGCCAACUUCGUGCAUCACCUGGUCUCGGUGAGCCACAAAGACGGCCAGAUCCAGCUGAGGAAGGCCCUCAAAUGCGAUGGCAUCUACUACCCGAACCUGUUCACCUUCUACGUGGACUCCACCUCGAACCGGCUGCGCAGCAUAGACUACUACAGCCUGCCUGUGCGGAUCUUCGUGUCGGGCCACAGCUGCAACGAGGACCGAAGGGUGGAGCAGGAGCUGCACCACCUGCACCACUUCGAGGAGGAGGACAACACGGGCUACUCCAAGCGCCGGCGACGACGCUCCACACAAGAGAUUGUCCAGCUGAACGGCAAUCAGCUGGAGGAGGUGUUCCGACACAACAGCACCGAGUUCAGGGCCGGAGAUCUCAUCUUCGGCGACAGUUUCGACAAUGAGAUGCGGCACAGGAUACUGAGUCGCAAAAGGCGGGCUGUGCCCUCGGCGGACCCUCUGCACCUGCAGCCGGCCCUGCACCGCCGCAUCUCCGACGCCAAGCAGUGGAUCUCGGAAACGUACGCCUCCUAUGCCAUCCACACCACGGACAAGUGGAACCAGAUCUGCCUGAGGCGCUCGCAGUUCAUCAACAACCUGAACGCCUUCCUGCCGCGGUCCGUGUGCCAGCACUGCAAGGUGAGCUUCCUGGACGUGAACGACGAGCGCUUCGCCAUCGAGCACCAGAGCCGCGACCUGGUUGCCAGCAGGGAUGUCUGUAUCGCAGAGUCCAUGUGGAAGGUGAGCAUUACCUUCAACAUCCGCUGCGAUCGCCAGGACAUCGUGGACUCGGAUCACCGCCUGAAGAUCGUCUACCAUCACCAGGAGUUCAAUGACACGGACAUCGCCCGCAGGGUCAGGAGGGAGCUGCGCAACCAGUCGCCCUACUUUGAACAGGCGCUCUACGUGGCCUCCGUGCUCGAGGAGCAGCCGGCCGGAGCGGCCGUUACCACUGUGCGGGCCCGUGAUCCCGAAGAUUCUCCGGUGGUUUACUCCAUGGUCUCCCUCCUCGACUCCCGCUCGCAGUCUCUCUUCAAAGUGGACUCCCGGACCGGGGUGGUCACCACCUCAGCCAGCUUGGAUCGGGAACUGAUGGACGUCCACUACUUCCGGGUGGUGGCCACGGAUGACAGCUUCCCUCCGCGCUCUGGAACAACCACGUUGCAGGUCAACGUGCUGGACUGCAACGACCACAGUCCCACCUUUGAGGCAGAACAGUUCGAGGCCAGCAUCCGCGAGGGAGCCACAGUGGGAUCAACGGUCAUAACCCUGAGAGCGACCGAUCAGGACAUAGGCAAAAAUGCGGAAAUCGAGUACGGAAUAGAAGCAGUUACAGAUGGCGGUGGUUUGGCUCAGGAUCAGGAGUUACCCAUCUUUCGUAUUGACUCUCGCUCGGGGGUGAUCUCAACGAGGAGCAGCCUGGAUCGCGAGACAUCGGACAGCUACCAUCUGCUGGUGACCGCCGCGGAUAUGGCGGCAGCGCAGAGCGAACGACGCACGGCCACCGCCAGUGUCCUGGUGAAGGUGCUCGACGACAACGACAACUAUCCGCAGUUCAGCGAACGCACCUAUACCGUUCAAGUGCCCGAGGAUCAGUGGGGCGGAAGCGAGGACAACACGGUAGCCCAUAUCCGAGCCACGGACGCGGAUCAGGGCAACAAUGCGGCGAUCCGCUAUGCCAUCAUCGGCGGGAACACGCAGUCGCAAUUCUCCAUCGACUCGAUGUCCGGAGAUGUGAGUCUGGUGAAACCGCUGGAUUACGAGAGCGUGCGCAGCUACCGGCUAGUGAUCCGGGCUCAGGACGGAGGCAGUCCCUCACGAAGCAACACCACCCAGCUCCUGGUGAAUGUGAUCGACGCAAACGACAAUGCGCCUAGGUUCUACACGUCACAGUUCCAGGAGAGCGUCCUUGAGAACGUCCCAGUGGGCUACAACAUAAUCCGGGUGCAGGCCUACGACUCAGACGAAGGUGCCAACGCCGAGAUCACGUACAGCAUUUCGGAGAGAGACGACAACUUUCCGCUGGCCGUGGAUCCCCGAACGGGCUGGGUGCAGACCAUCAAGCCACUGGAUCGUGAGGAGCAGGGUCGCUUCGCUUUCCAGGUGGUGGCCAAGGACGGUGGUGUGCCGCCCAAGUCGGCCAGCUCCUCGGUGGUGAUCACCGUGCAGGAUGUUAACGACAACGAUCCUGCCUUCAAUCCCAAGUACUACGAGGCAAAUGUCGGCGAGGAUCAACCACCAGGCACUCCGGUGACCACAGUCACAGCCACAGAUCCCGAUGAGGACUCUCGCCUGCACUACGAAAUCACCACGGGUAAUACGAGAGGACGCUUUGCGAUCACCUCUCAGAAUGGCCGUGGUCUAAUCACCAUUGCUCAGUCCCUGGACUACAAGCAGGAGAAGCGCUUUGUGCUCACGGUGGCGGCCACCGACUCCGGAGGCCGUUCCGACACGGCCACGGUGCACAUUAACAUCACGGAUGCCAACAACUUUGCUCCGAUCUUUGAGAACGCACCCUAUAGUGCUUCGGUGUUCGAGGAUGCUCCGGUGGGUACCACCGUCCUGGUAGUAUCCGCCACCGACAGCGAUGUAGGGGUAAAUGCACAGAUUACCUACUCCCUGAACGAGGAGAGCAUCAACGGAUUGGGCAGUCCGGAUCCGUUUUCGAUCAAUCCGCAGACGGGAGCUAUUGUGAGCAACGCUCCCUUGGAUCGAGAGACCACCAGUGGCUAUCUGCUCACAGUGACUGCCAAGGACGGGGGCAAUCCCUCGCUCAGCGACACCACCGACGUCGAGAUUGCAGUCACGGAUGUGAACGAUAAUGCACCCGCUUUCAAGAGCCCCCUGUACCAGGCAUCGAUUCUGGAGGAUGCUCUGGUGGGCACCUCGGUCAUUCAGGUGGCAGCCAGUGACCCUGACGUGGGUCUCAACGGACGCAUUAAGUAUCUGCUCAGCGAGCGCGAUGUCGAAGAUGGUUCUUUCGUGAUCGAUCCCACCUCGGGCACUAUUCGCACUAACAAAGGCCUGGACCGAGAGAGCGUGGCCGUCUAUCACCUGACGGCCAUUGCCGUUGACAAGGGAUCACCGCCUCUUUCGAGCGCCGUUGAGGUGCAGAUUCGCUUGGAGGAUGUUAACGAUUCCCCACCGACCUUUGCCUCCGAUAAGAUCACCCUCUACGUACCGGAGAACUCUCCAGUGGGCUCGGUUGUGGGUGAAAUUCACGCCCAUGAUCCUGAUGAGGGUGUCAAUGCGGUGGUUCACUACUCCAUCAUUGGCGGCGAUGACUCCAACGCCUUUUCGCUGGUUACACGCCCGGGAUCAGAGAGGGCCCAACUGCUGACCAUGACGGAACUAGACUAUGAAUCCACCCGCAAGCGUUUCGAGUUGGUGGUGAGGGCGGCGAGUCCUCCCUUGCGAAACGAUGCCCACAUCGAGAUCCUAGUCACGGAUGUGAACGACAAUGCCCCCGUGCUGCGUGACUUCCAGGUUAUUUUCAACAAUUUCCGGGACCACUUUCCCAGCGGCGAGAUUGGAAGGAUUCCGGCGUUCGAUGCGGACGUUAGCGACAAGCUCCACUACAGGAUCUUGUCGGGUAAUAACGCCAACCUACUGCGUCUGAACAGCAGCUCUGGUGGAUUGGUGUUGAGUCCUCAGCUAAACACGAAUGUGCCCAAGUUCGCCACCAUGGAGGUGUCCGUAUCGGAUGGAAUUAACGAGGCCAAGGCCAUCAUGCAGCUGUCGGUGCGUCUGAUCACCGAGGACAUGCUAUUCAACUCUGUGACGGUGCGCUUGAACGAGAUGACGGAGGAGGCCUUCCUCUCGCCGUUGCUCAACUUCUUCCUGGAUGGACUGGCGGCUAUUAUUCCUUGCCCCAAGGAGCAUAUCUUCGUGUUCAGCAUCCAGGAUGAUACGGACGUGAGCUCGCGCAUUCUGAAUGUCAGCUUCUCGGCCCGCCGGCCGGAUGUGUCCCACGAAGAGUUCUACACGCCGCAGUACUUGCAGGAGAGGGUCUACCUGAACCGGGCCAUCCUGGCUCGCUUGGCAACCGUGGAAGUCCUGCCCUUCGACGACAACCUCUGCGUGCGAGAGCCCUGCCUGAACUUCGAGGAGUGCCUGACCGUGCUGAAGUUUGGCAAUGCCUCCGAGUUUAUCCACAGCGACACUGUGCUCUUCAGGCCCAUCUAUCCGGUCAAUACGUUCGCCUGCACCUGUCCCGAGGGCUUCACGGGCAGUAAGGAGCACUACUUGUGCGACACGGAGGUGGAUCUCUGCUAUUCGGAUCCUUGCCAGAAUGGCGGCACCUGUGUGAGGCGAGAGGGUGGCUACACUUGCGUGUGUCCCUCGACCCACACGGGCUCGAAUUGUGAGACGGGAGUGGGUCAGCUGCGUCCUUGCCCCUCGGAUACCUGUGAGGGAGGCUUGUCGUGUCUGAGUAACUAUCCCAGCUCACAGCCGCCUCCGUACACGGCCACCUGUGAGCUGCGAGCCCGAUCCUUCGGACGUAACUCCUUCCUGACCUUCGAAAGCCUCAAGCAGAGGCACCGCUUUAACCUCAAGCUGCGCUUUGCUACCGUCCAGGAAAACGGACUCUUGCUGUACAACGGACGAUACAACGAGCUGCACGACUUUGUAGCCUUGGAGAUACUUGAGGGCCACGUCAGCUUCUCCUUCUCCCUGGGCGACCACAGCGCUAGCGUUUCAGUGAUACAAGAGGCCAUGGUUUCGGAUGGAAGGUGGCACCAGGUGGAGGUGAUCUAUCUUAACCGCACCGUCACUCUGGUUUUGGAUAACUGCGACACCGCCAUUGCUCUGUCGGGGCAAUUGGGCGACAGAUGGAGCUGUGCCAAUCGGACUACCCUGAAGCUGGACAAGCGCUGCUCCCUUCUAACGGAGACCUGCCACCGCUUUUUGGAUCUCACUGGACCCCUGCAAGUGGGUGGACUUCCCCGCAUCCCCGCCCACUUCCCGGUGGCCAAUCGUGAUUUCGUCGGAUGCAUCUCGGACCUGCGUAUCGAUGAUCGAUUCAUUGAUCUGAACUCAUACGUGGCGGAUAAUGGCACGCUGGCUGGCUGUCCACAGAAGGCUCCACUGUGUCCCUCCGAGCCCUGCUUCAAUGGCGGAACUUGUCGCGAAGGCUGGGGAACCUAUUCCUGUGAGUGCCCCGAGGGCUAUGCGGGUAACAGUUGCCAGGACAAUAUUCCGGCUCCGUGGCGAUUCUCUGGAGAUGGUAGCCUCAGCUUUAACCCGCUCCUGCGUCCCAUCCAGCUGCCCUGGACCACCUCCUUCUCGAUUCGAACGCGACAGCGGGAAGCUUUCCUCCUACAGAUCCAAAUAGGCCAGAACAGCUCAGCGGCUGUGUGUCUCCGGCAAGGUGUUCUCUACUACAUCUACGAUGGGGAACCCAUGUUCCUGGCCGGCGCCUUCCUUUCCGACGGCGAGUGGCACAGAGUGGAAAUACGCUGGCAGCAGGGCUCUGAGAUCCACUUUUCCGUUGACUACGGCCAGCGAUCGGGAUCGGUUCCCAUGUCCCAAAAGGUUCAGGGCUUAUACGUGGGCAAGAUCGUGAUGGGCAGUCCUGAUGGCAGCAUCGGAACAGUGCCCGAAGCCUCUCCCUUUGAGGGCUGCAUCCAAGAUGUUCGAAUCGGGGCCGGUCAGUCAGUCUUGUCUCGGCCAACGAUCCGUGAAAAUGUUGAGGACGGCUGCGACUCGCGUUCCCAGUGUCCAGAUCACUGCCCGAACCACUCCUCCUGCGUGAGCACCUGGGACAUGGCCACCUGUGAGUGUGACACGGGUUUCGUAGGCGCUGACUGUGCGCCCAUUUGCACGGUGAGACCCUGUGCCUCUGGAGUCUGCCGGGCAAAUGCCAGUUUGUCCCGCGGUUACGGAUGCGAGUGCAACAGCAGCUCCCGACACGGCGACUAUUGCGAGCGGGAGCUUCAGCAGCCGUGUCCAGGGGGAUGGUGGGGUGAGCGGGUCUGCGGUCCCUGCAGAUGCGACCUGGCCCAGGGCUACCACCCAGACUGCAACAAGACCACCGGCCAGUGCUACUGCAAGACGAACCACUACCAACCGCCCAAUGAAACGGCCUGCCUCUCCUGCGAUUGCUACUCCAUCGGCAGCUUCAGCGGAGCCUGCAACCCUCUGACCGGACAGUGCGAAUGCCGGGAGGGUGUCAUCGGGAGGCGAUGCGACUCCUGCUCGAAUCCCUAUGCCGAGGUCACGCUGAGUGGUUGCGAGGUGGUCUACGAUGCCUGCCCGCGCUCAUUCGCCGCCGGUGUCUGGUGGCCCCGUACUCCGCUAGGAGGAGUGGGUAUCGAAGGAUGUCCGUCGCCGGCUCGAGGAAAAGGACAACGGAGCUGCGAUGCCCAAUCUGGCAGCUGGAGUACCCCGGACAUGUAUAACUGCACCUCUGAACCGUUCGUGGAACUGCGGCGUCAACUCUCCCAACUGGAGAAGCUCGAGCUGGAACUGAACUCCUUUGUGGCCAUUAAGAUGGCGGAGCAACUAAGAAGAGCCUGCGAGACGGUGGACAGAAGAGGUUCCAGCAAAGAUCCCAAGAUGACGGGACCGGGACGUCCUGGCAGGCGCUACAAGAUGGAGUCCUCCUUCCUGCUUAGCAAUGGCGCGAACGUGUGGUCCCACGAGCUCGAAAUGGACUACCUCUCCGACGAACUGAAGUUUAGCCACGAUCGCCUUUACGGAGCAGAUCUCCUUGUCACCGAGGGCCUCCUCCAGGAGCUAAUCAACUACGAGCUGAUGCAGAGCGGACUGAACCUGUCGCACAGCCAGGACAAGUACUUCAUCAAGAACUUGGUGGAUGCGGCCAGUGUGAUCCUUGACCGAAAAUACGAGACGGAGUGGCGCAGAGCCACGGAAUUGAUUCAAAGAGGGCCUGAAGACUUGGUGGAUGCCUUCAACAAGUACCUUGUGGUCCUGGCCCGUUCCCAGCACGACACCUACACCAGUCCCUUCGAAAUUGUGCAGCCGAACAUGGCCAUGGGGCUGGACAUUGUCACCACGGAAUCCCUAUUCGGUUACGAACCAGAGCAGCUGAGCGAAUACCACCGGAGCAAGUACCUCAAGCCAAAUGCCUUCACCACCGAGAGCGUGGUGCUGCCGGAUACGAGCGGUUUCCUGCAGCACUCCGCUCGCCAGCGACCCGUCAUCAGCUUUCCCAAGUACAACAACUACAUCCUGGAUCGUCGCAAGUUCGAUCAGCACACGAAGGUGCUGGUGCCCCUGGAAAUGCUGGGAAUAACCCCGCCUGAAAGCGACGAGGUCUCACAGGGCGGCAGGAGAGGAAGCCACGACCAUCGCGCCAUUGUGGCGUACGCUCAGUACAAGGAUGUGGGUCAGCUCUUGCCCGAUCUCUACGAUGAGACCAUCACUCGUCGCUGGGGCGUCGAUGUGGAACUGGCCACACCCAUCCUCUCCCUGCAGAUCCUAGUGCCUUCCAUGGAGAGGGAACAGGAGACCCAACGCCUGGAGAUUCCCUCGAGAAAGAUCUCAUCGACGUCAUCGUCAUCUUCUUCCACCGGCAGCACGGAACAGCAGUUCGUGGAGGUGUUCGAUGUGCCCAAGGCUCCUACAAGCAGCAGCGAACAGCAGAUCGAGGACAUAAGGAUUACUGCCCACGAAGUGCCACCACCAGUUUCCUCCGAUGAACAACUGGAGGCUUCCAGCAGUGAGGGUGGUGAGGAAAGGGAACCGCAUCUCCACCUUAACCUCGAUGACAUCGAGUUCCAUGGCAACUCCGGCGAGGAGAUUAUAUCUCCGGGGUCUCCGGAAGUUCUUAACCCGAACUACGAAGGCGCCAGCUCCACCGGCAGUGAUGAGCAGCCCAAGGGCGAGAACGAUGCGGUCUACAGAGAUCGUCGCUUGGUCAAGCGGCAGGUGGAGAUCACCUAUCCCUCAGAGCAGAUGCAGCAGUCGGAGCAUGUGGUUUACCGCUCGCUUGGUUCUCCUCACCUGGCACAGCCCAUUAAGCUGCAGAUGUGGCUGGAUGUGGACGCGGCUCGCUUCGGGCCACGCUCCAACCCGCAGUGUGUGCGCUGGAACUCCUUCACCAAUCAAUGGACUCGCCUGGGCUGCCAGACGGAGAUUCCCGACUUUGACGGUGACUUUAAUCCAGCGGCUCAGCCAUCGAUCCUGGUGAACUGCAGCUGCACCCACAUCUCCAGCUAUGCGGUGAUCGUGGAUGUAAUAGAUCCAGAGGACAUACCGGAACCCUCUCUCCUUGUGCAGAUCACCUCGUACUCUGCCUUCCUGGUUUCCCUGCCCCUUCUGCUGGGCGUCCUCCUGGCCCUGGCUCUGCUUCGUGGCCAGCAGACCAACUCGAACACCAUCCACCAGAACAUUGUGCUUUGCGUCUUCUGCGCCGAGCUGCUCUUCUUCGUGGGAAUGCAGUCGCGUCGCCAGCUCCUAGAGAGCGAGUUCCCCUGCAAGCUGACGGCCAUCUGCCUGCACUACUUCUGGCUGGCGGCCUUUGGCUGGACCACGGUGGACUGCGUUCAUUUGUACCGGAUGCUCACCGAAAUGCGAGACAUUAACCACGGACCGAUGGGCUUCUACUUCGCCAUGGGCUACGGUGCACCAGCCAUAGUCGUCGGACUCUCUGUGGGAGUUCGGGCUCACGAGUACGGAAAUAGUUUGUUCUGCUGGCUAUCUGUGUACGAGCCCGUGGUCUGGUGGCUCGUGGGGCCCAUCGCGGGCAUGUCCGUGGUGAACCUUCUGAUUCUGUUCGUAUCCGUGAAGGCGGCCUUUACCCUCAAGGACCACGUCCUCGGUUUUGGCAACCUGCGCACUCUGCUCUGGCUGUCGGUGGUGUCCCUGCCCCUGAUGGGCGUGAUGUGGGUUCUAGCGGUCCUGGCCGCCUCGGAGCACUCGCAGCUACUAAGCUUGCUGCUCUCCGGCGUGGUUCUCCUCCAUGCGCUCUUCUGCCUCAUCGGAUACUGCAUCAUCAACAAGCGGGUACGGGAGAAUCUCCAGCGCACUUGUCUGCGCUGCAUGGGCCGAAAAGUACCACUGUUGGACUCCUCGAUGGUGGUCAGCAAUAGCUCCCACAAUGUGAACGGGACAGCCAGGCCUAACAAUUUCCUGGCCGGAGGAUACGACACGACUACACGUAGAAACAUAGGCAUUAGCGCCAGCAGCACCACCUCGAGGAGCACGGCAAAGACUAGCUCGAGUCCCUAUAGCGAUGGCCAGCUGCGACAAACCUCCACAUCCACCUCAAACUACAAUUCGGCCAGUGAUGCGCCCAGCUUCCUGAGGGGCUUUGAGUCCUCCACAACCGGACGAAGUAGGGGAGGUGAAGAGAAACCGCGCCGCCAGCGGAAGGACUCGGACUCGGGCUCGGAAACGGAUGGAAGAUCCCUAGAGCUGGCCUCCAGUCACUCCAGCGACGACGACGAAUCCCGCACGGCCCGAUCCUCGGGCACGCAUCGCAGCACGGCAGUGAGUUCAACGCCAGCCUACCUGCCCAACAUCACGGAGCAUGUGCAGGCCACCACACCGCCAGAGCUGAAUGUAGUGCAGAGUCCGCAGCUCUUCCCCAGCGUCAGCAAGCCGGUGUACGCCCCUCGCUGGUCCAGUCAGCUGCCGGACGCGUAUCUGCAGUCGCCGCCGAACAUUGGACGCUGGUCCCAGGAUACGGGCUCCGACAACGAACACGUGCAUGGCCAGGCCAAGAUGACCAUCUCGCCAAACCCACUGCCCAAUCCCGAUCUCACGGACACCAGCUACCUCCAGCAGCACCACAACAAGAUCAACAUGCCGCCCUCUAUCCUGGAGAACAUAAGGGAUGCACGAGACGGCUACGAGGACAGCCUGUACGGGCGGAGGGGCGAAUAUCCGGACAAGUACGGCUCCUACAAGCCGCCCAGUCACUACGGCAGCGAGAAGGACUAUCCAGGCGGCGGCAGUGGCUCCCAGACCAUCGGCCACAUGCGCAGCUUCCAUCCGGACGCGGCCUACUUGAGCGACAACAUCUACGACAAGCAGCGCACGCUGGGUAGCGGCUACUUGGGCGCCAAGUCGGAGUCUCCCUAUCUCUCCAAGGACCGCAUCACCCCUGAUAUUUACGGCUCCAGGGACGGCCACUACAGCCUGAAGCGGCAGCCCGCCUACGCCACGGACUCGCUGCACUCGGUGCACUCGCUGCUGAAGAAUGACUACCACCAGCAACAGCAACAGCAGCUCCAGCAGCAGCAACACCACCUGCAGGACAGACUAUCCGAGGGCUCGGAUAAGAAUGGCUACCACUUCCCGUACACCGCGGAGGAGGACCACUUGCCGGCCAGGAAGCUAAGCCACACGCAACCGCCAUCGCUCCACGGAUCGCAGCUGAUGCAGCCGCCGCCGCCGGGUCUGGGCCUGGUCAACGAUGUCAACAAUCCGGGCCUGAUGGCACGGCACACUCUGAACGGCGGGGGAUCUCGGCACAGCUCCAGAGCCUCAUCCCCGCCCUCCAGCAUGGUGGCGCCCAUGCAGCCACUGGGGCCGUUGGCCAGCAUCACGGACACCGACUGGUCCUGGGAACGUUUGAAGCAAAUCUAAUUUGACUAUCUUUCACUAUCUUUCUCUCCCAUCUCGUGCUCUCUCUCUCUUUCUCUCUCUCUAUCAUUGACAAAAUAAAACUAAACACGACACACACUCUUAACCACAAAAAAACUACCAAACGGCAAAAUGAAAUUCGACGUAAUGCAAAACGCUAUGGCUGCCCCGUGUUCUCCAUGUUCCAUCCAAACCCAAAAAUCCAACCAAAUCAAACAACCACCACACCACAUGUACUACAACUACAACAACAACUACAGCUCCGAGGCGGAAUAUUGAUGAUGACGAGACCACAGUGUGACGACAGUCCCAGUCCCAGUCGCCGUCGCCGUCGCAGUCGAAGCUGCAGCAGCAACAUCAGCAGCACCUGCAGCAGCUGCAACAAUUGCAGCAGCAACGCACCAAACAGCCAGCGCCAUACUUCGCCACCAUUAGACGCAAGCCGCAUUACAGGAGCCACACGGAGGCCUGAGCUCCGCCUCGGGCCGGAUUCCAUAGCACACUUACGGGCGCCAAGCUGCCAUAAGUCCCUCAUUAAAACUUUGUACAUAGAAGCACACCCAACACACAACACCCGCACACUCGCUGGCCACUUAAUUUUACGUAAAUAGCGCUUAGUACAUACGAUAGCUGCAGCAAAUACGAAUAUGAGCAUAAAUAUUUAUAACACUUUUUUAGGCAUUUACUCGUAAUUAGUUUAAAGCAACACAAAAGGGCCGCCAGUUGUAUUUCGUUUCGGGAAUCACGAAAUACGCUUUACUCGCCCGGGAUUGUGCAUGUAUUAUAAAUUGUAAUGUGUAAUUAUGUAUUAAAACAAGUCAGACUGAUUUUAUGCAUUUGCGUUUCUGCUAUUACAAUUAAGCCCCUCACCCCUCACUCCUUACCACCAUUCAUGCAUGCAGCGAGUUUGUGCAUUUAGGCCCAGUCACAUGUGUCCAGAGUGGACAAAAUGGCCGUCGCAGGGCCACGUUAGUUAGAGCAAACUGCAAGUAAACAAAGUAAACACGUUGUGUGCCUCGAGCUUCGAGCUUAUUAUGCCAAAUUAGUGGAGGUCGAGAAAGGGAACUUGUAAAUGGAAAGUAAUCGGCGAAAGUUGGCCAGCAGCAGCCUCCCCAUCCGCAUUCGCACAUCCGUUGCCAUUUAGUUCGGGAGUUAGUUUUAAUUGAUAGCAUUUACUAGCCCUAGACCGAGUCCGAACUGGGAAGGAGCGUUGCGACGACUGUACCAUGACAUCAAGUUCAAAAUCAUACUCAAUACACAUAGAAAAAGUAAUAUAAAUUCAGGACACCCAGGAGCGUGUUUACAGGGGGCCCACACAAGCGCAGCAUAAGCAUAUCUAUAUAUAUUCGCAUACGUACUAUAUCUGUCUAUAAUAUCGGAGCCAGCUGGAAAGCUUGCUCAACAGUUUGAUCCCCGACUCAGCAAUAGCCAC